rnacentral:rRNA from 1 species
UACGGGGGGAGCAAGCGUUGUUCGGAUUUACUGGGCGUAAAGGGCGCGUAGGCGGUCAGCACAAGUCAGUUGUGAAAUCUCCGGGCUUAACUCGGAAAGGUCAACUGAUACUGUGCGACUAGAGUGCAGAAGGGGCAACUGGAAUUCUCGGUGUAGUGGUGAAAUGCGUAGAUAUCGAGAGGAACACCGGUGGCGAAGGCGGGUCUCUGGGCAGUAACUGACGCUGAGGAGCGAAAGCGUGGGGAGCGAACAGG